UACGUAGGGGGCUAGCGUUGCCCGGAUUUAUUGGGCGUAAAGAGCUCGUAGGUGGUUCGGUAAGUCGGAUGUGAAAUCUCCAGGCUCAACCUGGAGGGGUCAUUCGAUACUGCCGUGACUAGAGUUCGGUAGAGGAGUGUGGAAUUCCUGGUGGAGCGGUGAAAUGCGCAGAGAUCAGGAGGAACACCCGUAGCGAAGGCGGCACUCUGGGCCGAUACUGACACUGAGGAGCGAAAGCGUGGGGAGCGAACAGG
rnacentral:rRNA from 1 species